CGGCUGAGCCCGCGUCACCUGAUCCCCUGGCAGAAAGAAAAAAAAAACCGUCCUCGAUCCCCCUCGCGCUAUCUCGUCUCGCACCCGACUCGCUCCCGCACAGGCUAGGGUUCCCGUUGCAGCCGCCGCCGCCGCCACCAGUCCCCUACUCGUCUGCUCCGCGCCGCGGCUAGCUCCGGCGACAUGGCCGGAGGGUAGGAGCCCAUCUUCCGUCGCUUCUCCAACCUCGGGCACGACCCCUACCUUCCCUGGCGGCCAGGAGCAGCUCGUGUCGGUCCCGUCGGCGCCCUACUCCGGCGGUCGGUGCCCCACUCCGGCCGCGACCCAGUCCGUCGAGAAGGAACCCCGUUCGUUCCCCCUUCCCUCCUCAGUCCGUGGCCAUGAGCUCGGCCGGCAAGGAGCUUAUUCUCACAGCAUAGCUCAAAAGAACUGGCCCUGAAGCGGACUCGCGCGGAGGAGCUCCGCCUCUGGGCCAGGUGCGUAGCUGGCGUCCAUCUCGGCGCCGGGGAGGGAGGAACAACGGCGCGGCUGAGUCCGCUGCCUUCGUCACUCGCCGCUGUCCGCCGAUGUGGUUGCCUGCAUCUUCAUGAGCCACGGCCGGCCACCCUGUCGUCGCUAGUCAUUGUCGCGCCAGAGAUAUCCUUCGACCGUUGCUGUGUCCCGCCGGCACCUAGGCGCCCUUGUCCGGACAAGUUCCACUGUUCCCCUCCAGGCCCUCCUCAACACCCAACCGCAGCCAGCAACCAAGGGGGGGGGGGGCUUACUUCUGUAAUUUGCAAAAAUAUCUUACGACCGGUUUGGCUACGCCACAAAACGCAGUAAAGUCUUCUUCACCGCACGCACAGGCAGGUAGAGUUCGGCAGCAAUAACGAACAUCAGUAGAUAAUAGGCUACGGUUGUAAACGUGUAGUAGCUAGAUGAAAAAUAUAGUGGAUGGAAGUAGCACCGUGGUGUAGUACUAUAAUAUACGCGUCAAUUAGACUAAUGAUGAUCAGCGGCAGCGACGGCGGCGGAGUAAUUAGCAGAUGGAUAAUGAGAACUAGUAGAACAAGCAUGGCAUCUAAAUAUUGAUCUUGUGUCAAGACUUCAGGAAAAGUGACUACAAUAUCACCUUCAUUCUUGUUCUAGUGUACUGUCUUCAUUAUUUAGAUCGUCGACAGUGGCUACCAAGUGGGUGGUGGGUGGGCUCUGAAUUUCUUCGCCGUUCGCAU